GUCUCAAUCCAUGGACAGCUGGAUCCAUUCCUCAGGGCUUGAGGGCAUGUCUACAUUACUCCAGGACAUUGAGAAGCACCUAUUUGCAUGAAUCACAGGAUCCCAUGGGCUCAAGGAAAAAUUGAAAGAAAUAUCUCUGCCACCCAGAACAACAGAGGAACAAAUGCAGUGGAAUCAAUUUGUGCUAGUGCAUGGUACACCACCAGGUGGAAUGGCAGAGGUCUACUUUUCAGGCAAGAUUGAGGCACCCCUCAGAAAUGAGAUGUUACAUCUGGGUUGCAUGGAACAGAAAAGGUAUCCACCUCACCCGGUGAGCAGGAAAUACUCAUCAGAAGAUAAAAUGCUCUGCCUAAAACAUGGGCAAGAAAUGGAAGAACAUUUCAGAAUAGGAAGUUAAAGUACAUGUGUUAGAAUGGUAAUGUUCUUUCUUUUUAAUUUAGACAAGUGUAUGAUCUCAUGUGUACUCAAAGUCUGGUGAGGCUAUAAAAGUUCAAAUUUACUAAUCUGAAUAUUUUCAAACUUACAAGAAAUUUUGCUUUAUAUUAUACUGUAUAUUUAUUAAUGGCAGUUCAAGAGGUAACUUUUUAAAACUAUAACUGUUUGAAAAGUGUAACAGAGGGUGGAAUCUUUUCGAAAGAUUAUUUUGUGAAAAUUUGUCCCAAUUAUGUUAUGUGGAUUAUUCUGGGCUUAAGUCACAAGCACUUAAGCUGAGAGAGAGACAGAAGCCUUAAAGUACAUUGAAAUUUUUUAUCUAACAUUUUGUGUUUUCCCUGAUCUUUUCUUUUAUUAUCUUUUGUCCUAAUAAUUUACUUUAUGAAAUCUUGAGGCUUUUUUGAAAAUUCCUGCAAAGACCAUACCAGAUCAAUAGUUGUUAAUUUUCUUUGUUUACCUUUUUUUUUUUUUUGCUUUUUCUCUGAGUGUGUAUGUGUGUGUGUAUGUGUGCACACUCUCAUGUGUGCACGCGAAUACCAAAUAUUCUCAGUUGUAAUACAUCUUAAAGGAAGCCACAAAUCCAAAUAAGGAGGUGGAGAAAUCUCUAAAUCUCUUGUGAAGUGAUAGUUUGAAAAUAAACCCUCUUUACAGCAUAAAAUUAUUUCCUAAGAGGUUUUCACAUACUAGGAACUAAAGAAACAUUUGUUGGGUGAUUGAACCACAUUUUUAUGAAUUUGAUUUGGGUUUAAACUUAAAGCUCUUCUGAUAUGUUAUCCCAGAUGAUGCAUAAAUUGCUUCUCUAUUUCCCAAGAAACACAUUCAUUUCCUAGAACCAAGAAAACAUGUGAAUCCCACUACAACCUUAAGUUCUUUGAUUCCAAAGUGUGUAACAGGAAAAGAAUCCUACUUAUGUUGAGUUAAAAAUUUGCCUUGCUAGAACAUCAACCAUGAUGUUUAGUGAUUCUUUAUAAAGCAUACCAGAAAACACUUACCACCCAGCCUGCAAAAGAUAACUUCAAAUAUUUAAAACAGUCAGUACAUGUCCUCUCAGGGCUCUCUUUUCAGUUCAACAUUUUCAGUUAUUUCAAUCAUUCUUUCUCUACCUUCUACCCAACCAAGCCAUUUUGCCCUCCAUUUUAUCUAUAAUGCUAUGACCUCUUCAUGAAGCUCUCAGUAUACCUUUACCAGAAUAAAGAAUUUAAAACUUUUCUUUUUCAUUUCUUAUUACUAUUAGUGUUCAUUCAUUUGAUGAUGUUUGGAAUAAUACAUGUGAAAGUGCUUGGAAAAGAAUUAGCCACAUACAAAGAUGUCUAUUUUCUUUUAUAGAAGAAGGAAAUAAAUUUUGGUUAUUGUCAUGGAA